CAUUAGCUUGCUUUUGAAGAUCAGCGGCGGACGGGUGAGUAACACGUGGGCAACCUGCCUGUAAGACUGGGAUAACUUCGGGAAACCGGAGCUAAUACCGGAUAAUCCUUUCCCUCUCAUGAGGGAAAGCUGAAAGACGGUUUCGGCUGUCACUUACAGAUGGGCCCGCGGCGCAUUAGCUAGUUGGUGAGGUAACGGCUCACCAAGGCGACGAUGCGUAGCCGACCUGAGAGGGUGAUCGGCCACACUGGGACUGAGACACGGCCCAGACUCCUACGGGAGGCAGCAGUAGGGAAUCUUCCGCAAUGGACGAAAGUCUGACGGAGCAACGCCGCGUGAGCGAUGAAGGCCUUCGGGUCGUAAAGCUCUGUUGUCAGGGAAGAACAAGUAUCGGAGUAACUGCCGGUACCUUGACGGUACCUGACCAGAAAGCCACGGCUAACUACGUGCCAGCAGCCGCGGUAAUACGUAGGUGGCAAGCGUUGUCCGGAAUUAUUGGGCGUAAAGCGCGCGCAGGCGGUUCCUUAAGUCUGAUGUGAAAGCCCCCGGCUCAACCGGGGAGGGUCAUUGGAAACUGGGGAACUUGAGUGCAGAAGAGGAGAGCGGAAUUCCACGUGUAGCGGUGAAAUGCGUAGAGAUGUGGAGGAACACCAGUGGCGAAGGCGGCUCUCUGGUCUGUAACUGACGCUGAGGCGCGAAAGCGUGGGGAGCGAACAGGAUUAGAUACCCUGGUAGUCCACGCCGUAAACGAUGAGUGCUAAGUGUUAGAGGGUUUCCGCCCUUUAGUGCUGCAGCAAACGCAUUAAGCACUCCGCCUGGGGAGUACGGCCGCAAGGCUGAAACUCAAAGGAAUUGACGGGGGCCCGCACAAGCGGUGGAGCAUGUGGUUUAAUUCGAAGCAACGCGAAGAACCUUACCAGGUCUUGACAUCCUCUGACAACCCUAGAGAUAGGGCGUUCCCCUUCGGGGGACAGAGUGACAGGUGGUGCAUGGUUGUCGUCAGCUCGUGUCGUGAGAUGUUGGGUUAAGUCCCGCAACGAGCGCAACCCUUGAUCUUAGUUGCCAGCAUUAAGUUGGGCACUCUAAGGUGACUGCCGGUGACAAACCGGAGGAAGGUGGGGAUGACGUCAAAUCAUCAUGCCCCUUAUG
rnacentral:rRNA from 2 species